AACCCAUGUUGAGGACAUUUCUGCAGGAGAUCCUUGAACCUAUCCCAUGUCUCAAAAAGAGAUUAAAAUUCUGUUUGCAUAAAAGAGGAUAUUUUAUUCUUGAGCUU